GGGUCUGUCCAUUGGUCGGGCUUUACGGUCGGUACUGGUCAGAUGGGUUCCUACCUUCUGAAUAACCGGCAUGCCAUUUAGUUGGUGCUCCGGGGAAGCAGAGCUAUUACCUUGAAAAAAUUAGAGUGCUUAAAGCAGGCUAUUGCUUGAAUAGAUUAGCAUGGAAUAAUAAAAUAGGACGGCAUGGUUCUAUUUUGUUGGUUUCUAGGAUCACCGUA
rnacentral:rRNA from 1 species